rnacentral:rRNA from 1 species
CCUACGGGUGGCUGCAGUGGGGAAUAUUGGACAAUGGGCGCAAGCCUGACCCAGCAACGCCGCGUGAAGGAAGAAGGCUUUCGGGUUGUAAACUUCUUUUAGCAGGGACGAAACAAGUGACGGUACCUGACUAAGAAGCCCCGGCUAACUACGUGCCAGCAGCCGCGGUAAUACGUAGGUGGCAAGCGUUAUCCGGAUUUACUGGGUGUAAAGGGAGGGUAGACGGGACUGCAAGUCAGAUGUGAAAGCCCAGGGCUCAACCUGCGGACUGCAUUGGAAACUGUAGUACUGGAGUACAGGAGAGGCAGUCGGAAUUCCUAGUGUAGCGGUGAAAUGCGUAGAUAUUAGGAGGAACACCAGUGGCGAAGGCGGUCUACUGGACAGCAACUGACGCUGAGGCGCGAAAGCGUGGGGAGCAAACAGGAUUAGAUACCCUAGUAGUC